UAAUGGCAGGUCAGCAUACUGCCGUGAAUACGUUCCCGGGCCUUGUACACACCGCCCGUCACACCAUGAGAGUUGGGAAUACCCGAAGCCUGUGAGCUAACGUAAGAGGCAGCAGUCGAAGGUAGAAUCAAUGAUUGGGGUGAAGUCGUAACAAGGUAAC
rnacentral:rRNA from 1 species